rnacentral:rRNA from 1 species
AUGCCUUCGAUGAUUAUACCUAAGGGUACUGCACAUAGUACAUACCUGCAGAUGGACGACAAAAUCAGUACUAGACACAAUGCUCUGGAGCGCAUGCUAAUUGAUGAAAAUGCGGAGCCAACAAAUCUGCCGCUAUCACUUCUAGAAGAUAUCACAAAAUGUUUCUCUGACGAUCAUCAAAUCGGCGUCGGUGGGUUUGCGGUGGUUUAUAAGGGAAUGGUUGGAAAUGAGGCAGUCGCUGUGAAGAGGCUAUCCACGACAUUUGAUAUGCAGGAGAAUAAAUUUCACAAAGAGGUUGAAUGCUUGAUGAAGGCCAAGCACAAAAACAUAGUGCGUUUUCUCGGAUAUUGUUCUGACACACAAGGGAAAAUUGUAGACUAUGAGGGGAAGAUGGUCAUGGCGGAUAUACGAAAUUGGUUGCUCUGUUUUGAGUAUGUACCCAGCGGAAGUCUUGAUAAAUACAUUACCGAUGCAUCUCAUGGACUUGGAUGGAAGGAACGUUAUCAGAUAAUUAAGGGAAUAUGUGAGGGUCUAUGUCAUCUUCAUGAGAAGCGCAUUCUGCACUUAGAUCUGAAACCCGCCAAUAUUCUAAUAGAUGAUCAUAUGGUACCCAAAAUUGCUGAUUUUGGUCUUUCAAGGUGCCUCGACAAAGAGCAAACCCGGGCUAUUACUUCAAACCUUUGUGGAUCAUUGGGAUAUUUGGCACCCGAAUUCUACAGUGGACAUGUCUCAUUCGCGUCGGACAUAUAUAGUCUUGGCGUUAUAAUCGUGGAGAUAUUGACAGGACAAAAGGGUUAUUCUGAAGAUGAUAAUGUAAUUGAUAGUUGGAUGAUUCAAUUGGAGACAUCAGAUCAGGCGGACACUCUGUUGGAACAAGUAAAAGUAUGCACAAAAAUAGGGAUAGAGUGCAUGGACCCGAACCCAAAGAAGAGACCUGCCGCUAGGCACAUACUCGAUAUGAUUGAUAAAACGGAAAGUGCCGCAUAUUCAGAAGAAACUGCCAUCAGCUUCCCAGCAAAGAAAAGAAAAAAAGAAACCGCCAUCAGCAGUUCAUCAUCACAUAAUCCCCGGGUGGCUGAUGCAGGCGUGUGGGACCGUGUUAGCGGCCCGGCGUGUUCGGACGCCGAAUUCCAGCGGGCCUUCCACAUGUCGCGCGCCACGUUGCACUCGCUCUGCCAUGAGCUCGUCAUCGCCAUCGCCAAGGACACCACCUUGUGUGCUGCCAUACCCGUGCACCAGCACGUCGGCGGGGACGCAGCGCCGGCAGCAAUGAACGGACGCCGGGUGUGGGUGCGGGAGCGGAGCACGGAGUGGUGGGACCGCCUCAGCGGCCUGGCAUGCCCGGACGCCGAGUUCCGGCAGGCCUUCCGCAUGUCGCGUGCCACGUUCGAUGCGAUCUGCGACGAGCUUGGCGCCGCCAUCGCCAAGGAGGACACCGCCCUGCGCGCUGCCAUACCCGCGCAGCAGCGCUUCGCCGUCUGCGUGUGGCGCCUCGCUACCGGGGAGCCCCUCCGUGAGGUGUCCCGCCGUUUUGGCCUAGGCAUCUCCACCUGCUACAACAUCGUUCUCCAGGUCUGCGCCGCCCUCACCGGUGUCCUCAUGCCCAAGGCCAUCCGCUUGCCCCUGGACUCCCCUGAAGUCACCGCCUCCAGGUUUGAGGCCCUGUCCUGGAUCCCCGGCAUCGUUGGCGCUGUGUGCACUGACCACAUCCCCAUUGGCCCACCCAAGGAGAAUGUUGCCGAGUACUACAACCGCUGCCUCACGGAGCGCAUGAACAAGGCAUCCUAUUCUGUCGCCUUGCAGGCCGUCGUGGACGCUGACGGCACUUUCACAGACGUCUGCAUCGGCCUCCCAGGCUCACUGUCCGAUACAGCUGUGUUUGAGCAGUCGGCGCUGCACGCCCGCUGCGAGGCUGGGUUGUUUGGAGACAACCAGUACUGGCUGGUUGGCGGCCCAAGGUACCCGCUCAAGGACUGGAUGCUCGUGCCAUAUGCGUACCAGAACCUGACGUGGGCGCCUUCAACGAGCGUGUCGCGGUUGCGCACGGAGCUGCGUGGGGCGCGUUACAGAGGCUCAAGGCACGGUGGCGCAUCCUGCAGCGCCGCACCGAGCCCAAGCUGCCAGACCUUCACAACAUGA